GGGCUCGUGGUCUAGUGGCUAUGACGCUGCCCUUACAAGGCGGAUGUCGCCGGUUCGAGUCCGGCCGGGCCCACCA
rnacentral:tRNA from 1 species